CCUGCUCAGUGAGUUUACAUGUUAGAGGGAGUGGGGUAUAGUGACAGUAACAGAGGGAUUGAGGGCAUGCUCAGUGAGUUUACAUGUUAGAGGGAGUGGGGUAUAGUGACACAGUAACAGAUGGAUUGAGGGCCCUGCUCAGUGAGCUUACAUGUUAGAGGGAGUGGGGUAUAGUGACAUAGUAACACAGGGAUUGCGGGCCU